GCAGUUGGAAAAGGAAGGAUGCCUGGGGAUGACCUUGUGCUCAUCAGCGACACCAGUCUGUCCUUUCCAAGCCUCUGUGGCAGAGCUGCUCUUCCCACAGCAAGGAUGGCAGGAGGUUAUUUCAUGCUGAAAUUAUGCCUAUUUGCAUGGAUAGUCAUUCUUUAAAGCUAGCCACAGAUGCAGUCCUAGGGAGCACGUAGAUGUUUUUACAGGUGAACCGAAAGAGAUG
rnacentral:lncRNA from 1 species